rnacentral:sRNA from 10 species
AGAUAUCAGGGUCAAAAGGUCUAAAAUCCGACGAGGGCUUGCUUGAAGGAGGAUUUUUGAACUUGGGACCCGCCAAAAACAUGAGUAAGGAGCCAUUUUUUGAAGAAAAAUGAGCGGAUUACGAAUGUUUUUAGAAUUGCGGGAGUGCAAAGCACGUAGCAAUUCGGUAUCA